GAUGAACGCUGGCUACAGGCUUAACACAUGCAAGUCGAGGGGAAACGACGGGGAAGCUUGCUUCCCCGGGCGUCGACCGGCGCACGGGUGAGUAACGCGUAUCCAACCUGCCUCUGACUGAGGGAUAACCCGUCGAAAGUCGGCCUAAUACCUCAUGGUAUCGUCUGCGGGCAUCCAACGACGAUUAAAGAUUUCAUCGGUCAGGGAUGGGGAUGCGUCUGAUUAGCUUGUUGGCGGGGUAACGGCCCACCAAGGCUACGAUCAGUAGGGGUUCUGAGAGGAAGCUCCCCCACAGUGGAACUGAGACACGGUCCAAACUCCUACGGGAGGCAGCAGUGAGGAAUAUUGGUCAAUGGGCGAGAGCCUGAACCAGCCAAGUAGCGUGCAGGAAGACGGCCCUAUGGGUUGUAAACUGCUUUUAUGCGGGGAUAAAGUGAGGGACGUGUCCCUCAUUGCAGGUACCGCAUGAAUAAGGACCGGCUAAUUCCGUG
rnacentral:rRNA from 1 species